rnacentral:rRNA from 1 species
UGGGGAAUAUUGCACAAUGGGCGCAAGCCUGAUGCAGCCAUGCCGCGUGUAUGAAGAAGGCCUUCGGGUUGUAAAGUACUUUCAGCGGGGAGGAAGGCGAUAAGGUUAAUAACCUUGUCGAUUGACGUUACCCGCAGAAGAAGCACCGGCUAACUCCGUGCCAGCAGCCGCGGUAAUACGGAGGGUGCAAGCGUUAAUCGGAAUUACUGGGCGUAAAGCGCACGCAGGCGGUCUGUCAAGUCGGAUGUGAAAUCCCCGGGCUCAACCUGGGAACUGCAUUCGAAACUGGCAGGCUAGAGGCUUGUAGAGGGGGGUAGAAUUCCAGGUGUAGCGGUGAAAUGCGUAGAGAUCUGGAGGAAUACCGGUGGCGAAGGCGGCCCCCUGGACAAAGACUGACGCUCAGGUGCGAAAGCGUGGGGAGCAAACA